GGCACACAUCACAUACUUUGCCUGCUGUUCCCCAGGGCCCUCUGCUGCCUCAUGGGAAUCAGAUUGGAUCAUUACCUGGUGCACAUCCACCAGCCCAGGCACCAGGCCAGCCAGAACCAGCAGCUCAUGAUGUACCGCCAACCUCACAUGCCUCUGUCCUACCUGGCCCUGCGUAUCGACCUUCUUCUGAGCCAGCUACAGGACCAGGAGCCCAAGGAGGCAGAGCCUGAGCCUCAGGGUCUUACCAAUGAUUCUGCGCCAACUCCUGCAGCUGCUCUCCAGCCACAGGCCCCAGAACCUGCUCUGGAGCCCCCAGAAUGCCCAGGAGCCGAGACCCAGGCAGAACCUCCACGCGGAAAGACCACACACUGGCCCUGGAGCCG